CUCCGUUACAGAAGACAAUCAGAUACUAUUUCCAGGUCUCGUAUUAAUAGAAUUCCCGGGCCCAAGAUGACACCUGCUGACAAUCAAAGACAGGCACCUUCGGAAUCUUCUUGCCAUAGAUACAAACAGAGGAAACAGCCUUCUGUUCACAUGAUUGCACAGCCCCAAUACACACGGACUGUUACCCAUGCCACUACCACCUGCAAUGCUGGCCACAGCAUUUCGCUGUCACCAGUCUUCCCACCGGGACCUGCACUUCCUGAGACCACAACCAGGUUACAUGGUUCUAUUCCAGCUGGCGACAAACAAACAAUUUGCCCUCCUCAAGUCCCUUGUCUACAACCCUCUCCCGGUGCUACGCUUCCACGCUGUGGUCAACCUCUUCAUGGUCUACAGAACAUUCCAGUUGUCUCACACUCUCAACAUCGCCUGACAUUGAGUCAACCUCUCCCGCGCCAUUUGCAGAUCGACAGUGCUUAUGAUUCUGAUGAUUCCAUAACUAAUGAUUUUCAACACGCCAGUCCCUAUCACACUUAAGCAAGCUGACAUUUAAUGGCAUUCAAUACACUGAGCCAAUUACUACACCCAUCCUCAACCAAAUCAAGAGGUCAAUCUGCAAAUAUAUUUGGAGAAAUAAAUUCAUCGACUUCUCUUCUCUACUAUCCUCUUUCCCUUCGUCUACCUGCGAUCCCCAAUUCUCAUUUCAACUCGAUCAACACUCGAACUUUACACUUCGACCCUCCACCCGCACCCAGAAAAUCAUAACCAUAGAGUCCUGGACAUCAGCUUUUAUCAAAUUCACAGCAGUGUAUACAACCAAAUUUCCCCAUGAAGCUGCACAGCUUAUGAAGUACGCCGAAAUCGUCCGGGACAUUGCAGCUCGCUGUCCUGGUCUUGCUUUUUACCAUUACGACAUCCAUUUCAGAAGGUUACGAGAGUCCGUCCCCCUCCCCUGGGAUAGAUUGCAUACUGAGUUUUGGCUUAGGGCGUGUACAUCUUUCCAUCAACAACCCACUCCAUUUUCACCUCCCCUCCAUACAUCUUCUCAUAGCUCGCACAGCCACCGUAUCCAUAGGUUCCAUGACAAGACCUGCUGGAAUUUCAACAAAAGAACGCUUUGUCGCAAUGCCAAAUGCCCGCACCCUCACAUCUGUGGUUUCUGCAGAGGGUCCCACGCAGCCUACCACUGCAAGUUCUCAAGCAAACGAGACACCGUCAAAUUACCAUGACACAGUAUAACCAAUUUUUCAAACAUAAAUCCCCCCAUGUUUUAGGUGCACACUACAUGGUGCUUAGUUCAGGGCCUCUUACCCUAUUUCCUCAAACCGCACUUUUCAAUGCUCUUUUUUCCCCCCCCUUUUCUGGUAUACAGGUUACCACCUGUUUCAUUUUCAGCUAUACAUGCACAAACAACAUCACUAUUUCCCAUAUCCAAUAACCUGGUCAGCGGCAUUCAGCUGCUUCCUUAUAAUACACGUCAACUCUCACAUGUUGAAACCCUCCCCUCAUGCUUACAUUCCUACUUACACGGUUUUGAUCUGUCGGUUAAAGGCAGCAGAUCAUCCCUUUAUUUCAUAUCCGUCUUUACCACUAGUUCUGACGGUUCUAUAUAACAGAUCUACUCAUCACCCUUAAGUAUCCCAUGGCCAGCAUAUUGAAUGCCAUUACCAUCGGUUAACACUACACUUUGCAUAAACGCAGUCUUACCGACGGUUUAAGGCCGCGGUGGUUUUUCAAUUUCUAUUUUCCUGCUGUUAUUUGCUGUAUAAACAUUAGAACCAUUUCACCGACGGUUUAAGGCCGCUGUGCUCAUUUUUAUAUGUUGUUCAUUGUUGUAGUUCUAAAGAUACACUGGUUAACCUGACGGUUUAAGGCCGCGGUGCUCAUUUUUAUAUGUUGUUCAUUGUUGUAGUUCUAAAGAUACAGUGGUUUUACCGACGGUUUAAGGCCGCGGUGGAUUUUUUUAUGUACCUGUAUGUUUACUGAUAUAAUUCUAUGAAUUACACUGGUUUAACCGACAGUUUAAGGCCGCGGUAAACCUGUGCUAAAUGUUUUACCACAACUGUGGUGUACUUAAUUGCUGUAAUUAUUUUGCUUUAAAGUAUUGCUUUUUUGCUUUUUGUUUUUGUGUUUAUAGUCUGACGGUUCAAUUUUGCUUUAAAGUAUUGCGUUUUUGUUUUUUGUUUUUGUGUUUAUAGUCUGACGGUUGAAGGCCACAGUUUUUAUUAAGUGCCAUGUAACCUUUUACCUUUGAUCUCAAACAGCCUCUAUGGCCAAAUGGUCAUUCUUGCCAAAUUUUUUGUACAAUCUCUGACGGUUAAAGGCCGCAGUUUUUAUUUUCAUGUCUUUGUUUUCACCUUGUUGUUCUAGGCCGCAAUCACUGUAUCUAUUCUUUUUAUUUAUUUAGAUGGUAGUGCCGCAUCUUUAUGCUUUCACUUAUAAAUGUUCAUUUGGGAUAAUACUAUACAAUUACUGACGGUUUAUGGCCGCAGUCGGAUUGCA